rnacentral:rRNA from 1 species
UGGGGAAUUUUGGACAAUGGGGGAAACCCUGAUCCAGCCAUCCCGCGUGUGCGAUGAAGGCCUUCGGGUUGUAAAGCACUUUUGGCAGGAAAGAAACGUCAUGGGUUAAUACCCCGUGAAACUGACGGUACCUGCAGAAUAAGCACAGGCUAACUACGUGCCAGCAGCCGCGGUAAUACGUAGGGUGCAAGCGUUAAUCGGAAUUACUGGGCGUAAAGCGUGCGCAGGCGGUUCGGAAAGAAAGAUGUGAAAUCCCAGAGCUCAACUUUGGAACUGCAUUUUUAACUACCGGGCUAGAGUGUGUCAGAGGGAGGUGGAAUUCCGCGUGUAGCAGUGAAAUGCGUAGAUAUGCGGAGGAACACCGAUGGCGAGGGCAGCCUCCUGGGAUAACACUGACGCUCAUGCACGAAAGCGUGGGGAGCAAACAGG